rnacentral:misc_RNA from 1 species
GAUGAAGAACGCAGCGAAAUGCGAUACUUGGUGUGAAUUGCAGAAUCCCGUGUACCAUCGAGUCUUUGAACGCAAGUUGCGCCCGAAGCCAUCAGGUUGAGGGCACGUCUGCCUGGGCGUCACAUAUCGUUGCCCAAUGCCUAUUGCAGUGCAAUAGGAAUUUCUAGGGCGAAUGAUGGCUUCCCGUGAGCGUUGUUGCCUCGCGGUUGGUUGAAAAUCGAGUCCUUGGUAGGGUGUGCCAUGGUAGAUGGUGGUCGAGUUAGAACGAUACCGAUCAUGUGCAUGCUCCCCAAAAUAUGGCCUCUAUGACCCACACGCGUCUUUUGACGCUCAUGACGAGACCUCAGGUCAGGCGGGGCUACCCGCUGAAUUUAAGCAUAUCAAUAAGCGGAGGA